rnacentral:lncRNA from 1 species
ACCACACUUUUAUACAAACCACAAACCCUUUCAUAACUAUUCGCAUCAAAACGGAGAUCUCAAAAGAAGACAGAAACUUAGAUGAACUAGGCCGUACUCAAGGCCCCUCUCAGAAUUGUCUUCUUCUUCCAAAAAUCCUUUUCUUCAUAUCUCACCUCCGAGUUCUCCUUCUCGGAUUCCUCCUCCUCAGCUCUUCAGCGGGGUCUUGAAAU